GACUUGCUAACGUCUGGGUUACCAUGACAACAUGAAACAAACGGCAGGCUAGCGCCCGUUACGUCGUCAAAAGCAACUUCUUCUCCUGGCAACUGAACCUUUAUCAAUGUAAAGAAAUGUUACACCAUCAGCCAGCAUGUUUAUUUUUUUUUUAGUUCCAGAGAGCUAUCUGAUUCAUUCAGACAUGAGAGUGUGACAGUGAAUAUGUGUAAAUAACCCAGAAGCUGCGGCCCUGUGUCCCUGUGAAGAAAAGGAAGUGAAAGUGGAAGAAAAGACUGAAUGCCAGACUGAGAUGACCGACAGUGACGCAGAUCAGCUCAGGGAAAGAAACAGAGCCAAUCAAUGUCAGCACAGAGCUACGAUUUUUGAAGAAACACUUAUUA